GAUAAGAACUGUUAAUUCUAGAACGAGGAAGACAACACAUCAAGAGAGGUUUCAGUUGCAGAUUUUUCUCAGUUUGACUUGCAUAGCCAGACUUGUGGACAAAAGUAAAGGAGACAUCUUUUUGGGGCUCAUUUGAAGUCAGUUAAUUGAAUUAGGGAGUGAAGAGAGAGACAUGGAGGCUGUUUUUGGAUUGUUGGUGAUGAUUGCAGGAGUGUCUCAUGGCAUGUUGACCUCCUCCUGUGAUGCUAGAGAGGAUGGAUGUCAGUGUUAUGGAGCUCUGGGAGGAACUGUCUAUCUCCAGCUGACUGAUACCACAGUAUCUGAACUCACAUUUAAAAAAGAUCCCACUGGUGUAACUACAGAGAUACUCCGAAUGAGAAGAAACAAAAUGAUCAUCGCUGACUCCAUUAAAGCUAGAUCAGAGUUCUUCAUGAACAACAAGACAUUUAGGAUGACUAACACAGAAAGGACGGAUUCUGAUGAAUACCUAUUAGAAACAUUUCAUUCUAAUGGAAGUUCAUUGGCCACCAGAAGACUACACCUGUUCAUUGAAGGGCUCAUAUAUAUAAACUGUACCUUAUCCACCGGGACAAAGAUAUCAGGGUGGGUGAAUGACAUCAAUGACCAAUGCCACUGUCAACUAACCGCUGGACCUGGGUUCAAUGUGUUUGUUUAUUUCCAAUUUGCUGAAGUCUUUAUUCUGCUGGCAAUCUGUCUGGGAUCAUACUGUUUCUACAAGAAGAAGACUUGUCCUCAAGAGCAAGUCUCUCAGGUGGGACUCAGAGGAGGUUGUUGAUGUCCUAAGAGUUGCUAUGGGGAUCAACCAGGCUUUGAGAUUACCUUAUGAAAUAAUGACUAAUGGUGAUAUAAUAAUGCUUAUCACUCUUUUAAUCUUGAAACUCAAAGCACAGUAAUGUAUUAAAAGCAAAGAAAUACCAUUCUAUUGUUUUGACAUUUAUUUUCUUAUUUUCAUUAUGUUCCUUCAGACCUGCCCUUAACAAAAUGAAUAGUGAAUGAUCUAUGUGAUGGUGUUUAUUUAAUCGAUUUUAACUCUUGAAUUGAAGUGUUUUAGUGCUGUUGCUGUUGCUUUUGUUCAUACUGUUACAUUUAAAAAUAUCAUUUUUUUCAUAUUCUAAUGUUACCUUCUUAAGCACAAACAAAUAAUUAUUUUACCAAUAGCAUACAUCACAUGUAUUUAUUAGACUUUUAGAAUGUUGACAUCUGAAAGACUCAUCAUUGGCUUGCAGGGGAUCCCUCUAGGCUUUUCUAGUGUUAAGUAUCAUUUAAAAUGUUAUAGGAGUGUAUAUUAAGGUGUAUUGAUUGCAUAAAUUUUUUUGAUGCUUGUGGUAUACAGUAACAGAAAUGUUCCAGAGUUGAAAGGCUUUUUAAUUGGGGAACUGUAAGACAUAUUUUCAUUGUUAUUUCAUUGUUAUCAUGUUUGAUGUAUUGGUGUGAUUUUAAUGCAUAAAAGUAAAACCAAAAAACUUUUAAAA